UACGAAGGGGGCUAGCGUUGUUCGGAAUCACUGGGCGUAAAGCGCACGCAGGCGGAUCGUUAAGUCAGGGGUGAAAUCCCGAGGCUCAACCUCGGAACUGCCUUUGAUACUGGCGAUCUUCGAGUCCGGGAGAGGUGAGUGGAACUCCGAGUGUAGAGGUGAAAUUCGUAGAUAUUCGGAAGAACACCAGUGGCGAAGGCGGCUCACUGGCCCGGUACUGACGCUCAGGUGCGAAAAGCGUGGGGAGCAAACAGG
rnacentral:rRNA from 1 species